AUAUAUAUAUAUAUAUAUACAACUCGUCUAAACAUCAACCCAACAAUGUUAGAUCUGUAAAUUUGCUUUCGCAAAUUUUUGGUUCUUCCCUCGCCGGGAUUCGAACCCAUGCUACUGUGAUAUCGUGACACCAAAUCGCCUGCACUGCAGCCGUCCCGCUAGACCACACGACCACCUGGGCUCUCAAAAAAAGAGCUUUCGGUGGGCAUGUG
rnacentral:lncRNA from 1 species